rnacentral:RNase_P_RNA from 1 species
GCGGAUGGCUGGAUGGCCGCGUGGUGGCAACACCGCGAGGAAAGUCCGGACUCCACAAAACAACGGUGCCGGGUAACGCCCGGCUGGGGAAACCCAAGGGAAAGCGCCACAGAAAACAGACCGCCUGUGCCUGCACAGGUAAGGGUGAAACGGUGGGGUAAAAGCCCACCGCGGGACUGGCAACAGGACCGGCACGGCAAGCCCCACCGGGAGCAAUGCCAAAUAGGAACCUCGCGGGGUGUUAUGCCCCGGGGUCGUUUUGGCCCCGAAGGUUCGGGUUGGCAGCUAGAGCCUGUUGGUAACAGCAGGCGCAGAGGAAUGGUCAUCU